GAUGAAGAACGUAGCGAAAUGCGAUAAGUAAUGUGAAUUGCAGAAUUCAGUGAAUCAUCGAAUCUUUGAACGCACAUUGCGCCCGCCAGUAUUCUGGCGGGCAUGCCUGUUCGAGCGUCAUUUCAACCAUCAAGCCCCGGGCUUGUGUUGGGGACCUGCGGCUGCCGCAGGCCCUGAAAUGCAGUGGCGGGCUCGCCGUCACUCCGAGCGUAGUAGUUACAUCUCGCUCUGGGCGUGCUGCGGGUUCCGGCCGUUAAAAGCCUUAUUUACCCAAGGUUGACCUCGGAUCAGGUAGGAAGACCCGCUGAACUUAAGCAUAUCAAUAAGCGGAGGA
rnacentral:misc_RNA from 1 species